rnacentral:lncRNA from 10 species
GAUCCACAGGUGGUUUAGCUAGAUGUUCUGGCCCAAGGUCUCAUGAAUUUGCAGUCAAGAUGUUGGCUGGGCUGUAGUCUGAAAGUUUGACUGGUGUUAGAGGAUCCACUUCCUAGAGGGCUCAUUCGUAGAGCUGCCUGUGUUUUCUCACAACAUGGCAACUGGCUUUCUCUAGAACAGGUGAUCCAAGAGAGAGACAGAAACCAUGAUCAUUCAGAGUGAUGUAACAUUACUUCUACUAUAUAAUGUUAGUCACACAGACAUUUCCCUGACAAUAUGUGGGAGGAGAUUACACAAGAGCAUGAAUACUGGGAAGCUAGCUGUCACAAUUUGGCCCCAAUGAUUGAUAGUUCUUGAUUUGCAAAAUAUAUUCAUCCCCUCCAAAAGCUCUCCAAAGCUCUCAUCCUAUGACACCAUUAGUUCAAGGUCUAGAAAUCUAAAUCAGUUCCAAUUGUGGAUGACACUCAUAGGUGUACUUAAGUACAGCUCCUCAAGAAGAGUUCUUUUUGAUCUGAAGACUCAUACACUAAAGACACAGUCUCUGCUUCCACAUGUAAUAGAAAAUGAAUAGGAUAAUAAAUGUGGACAUGUAUAUUUAAAAAGAGGGAAUAUUGGAGGUACAUAGGUUCACAGAAAUUCUGAAACCCACCUGGGCACAGAUUGGCAGUUGCUUGGUCAAGUUUCAAGGCCUAGAAUUCUCUUAGCUCUGCCUUCUGGGAUCUUGGAUCUACUCACUGAGUCACCCUUUCUUUUUCUUGUUUACACUUCUGCCUGCUUUCUGCCUAUAGAAGCUUGGAUGUCCCACAAGCUUCUUUCCAUUUGGUUCUCUCUGUGCCUUUCAGUCCAGGCUGGCCAUGUUUCUGCUAAUAGACUUCUCUUAAAAACUUUGUGGCUCACUUGUGAAUUUUGAGUUCACUCCAUCAGACAAAAGCAACAACCACACAUCUCGUCCCACAUAAACUCUGCCUCAAGCUUUUGCUGAUGAAAAUACCCUUAAACUUUUUAAAAACCUGUGAUGUUAUUCAGAGAUUUUCUGAGACACAUCGUUUGUCUGAUGAAAAUACUCUGAGGCACAACUUAAGAUCUUUCUGAGCUAUUAAAGGACUUUAUAACUACAGCCUCAACUUUAUGUUUUACUGGCAGUGCCCUAGAUUUGCUUUUUGCUCAGAGAUAUUCCCCAAUUUUAGCACAUUUGUCAUCUGCACAGGCUGGGAAUCUUCAAAUCCAGCAAGUUUUGACUUGUUUUUGUUUGUUUGUUUGUAAUAGAGUCUGUUUUUUGCUGUGUUGGCCAGGUGAUCUUGGACUCCUGGCUUCAAGCAUUCCUCCCACCUCAGCCUCCCAAAGUUCUGGGAUUUUAGGUAUAAGCCACCAUGCCCAGCCAUGGCUCCUUUUUGUUUAACAGUCCUUACUUUGAUGGUCUCUCUUCUCACACAUUUUACUAUCAGCAACAAGAAAAAAUACACAUGAAAUAUUUAACACUUGGCCGGCAAUCUCCUUUGCUAGAUCAAUGAGUUAAUUAGGCAUUUUUUCUACUUUGUACAUAUCUGUGGAUAACAAAUUUGCUAAACUUUCUGCCAUUAUGUAACAAGGAUCUCCUUCCCUCUAGUUUCCAAGAAGAGUUUUCUAAUCUGUUAAGAUGUCACCUGCAGCCUCCUCAAAGGUUAUCUAUUAUGCUUCUAUAAAAAAUUUCUUCAAAGCUCUUCAAACUUUCAUUAACACUCUCCUCCAAGUUCUACCUUCUGUUCACUGCCAGUUUUAAAACCACACUUACAUUUUAGGUUUUUGCUAACACCCCACUUCUGAGUACCAAAAUGUAUACUGAUUUUCUAUUGCUGCAUAAUAAACUGCCCCAAAAUACAACAUGCAAAGCAAUAAAUAUUCAUUAUCUCAUGUAGUGUCUGAAGGUCAAAAAUCCGGAAGCAGCAUAGCUGAGUGGUUCUGAUUCAUUGUCUCUUGUGAAGUUAUCAGUCAAACCAUCAGCUGAGACUGUAAUCAUCUGAUGUUUUAACUAGUACCAGAGGAUACACUUUCACAUGCUAUUGGCAGGACACUUUAGUUCUUCACUAGCUGUUUAGCAGAAUACCGCACUUCCUCACCACAUGUACCUCUUCAUAGAGCUUCCUGGCUUCCUCUAAAACAAGUAAUCCAAGAGAGAAGCAGAAGCCACCAUGGUUUUUUAUGCCGUUGUUGACCUAGCCCCCAAAGUGACAUAUUAUUACACAGAUAUGUAGCCAACCUGUGGGUCACUGAUACGGUUUGGAUGUGUGUCCCCUCCAAAUCUCAUGUUGAAAUGUGAUUCUCAGUGUUGGAAGUGGGGCUGGUGAUAGGUGUUUGGUUCAUGAGGGUAGAUCCCUUAUGAAUGGCUUGGUGCUGUCUUUGUGGCAAUAAGUGAGUUCUCACUAUCUGAGUUCACACAAGAGCUGGUUGUUUAAAAGAGCCUGUCAUCUCUUUUGCUCCCUUUCUCACCAUGUGAUAUGCUGCUCCCCUUCUCUUCUGCCAUGAAGAAAAGCUUCCUGAGGCCUUCACCAGAAGCAGAUGCUGGUGCCGUGCUUCUACAGCCUGCAGAACUGAAGGACUUUACAGCUUCUCUUUCGCAUAUCCAAAUUGCCAGCAUCACCGCUCUUGCACUCCAAGCCAUUAUUAAGUAAAGUAAAGAACACAAACACUGUGAUACUGCUACACUUGAUCUGAUAACCAAGAAGUCUACUAAGUGACUAACAGUUAAUAUUUUUGGACAUGAGGUGACUGCAGUUAACUAAAACCAUGGAAAGCAAACCCAUAGAUAAAGGGAUACUAUGAGCAACUGGGAACCUAAUUCUGACCAAAAAGGAGGAAUUGUUUGGCUAAUUGGAAGUGACAGAAACCUUGGGAGAAAGCAACCGCAUACCAAGGAUAAUUAUAAGAAGAAGAGAAGACAUGGAGAAGAGGAGGGAGUAGUUGUGACCGUGGAGGCAGAGAAUGGAGUAAUGUGAUCAUAAAUCAAGGAAUGCUGACAGCCACUAAAGCUGGAGAAGGCCAAGGACAGAUAUUCAAUCCUCCCGUAGAAGUACAGCCCUGCUAAUGCAUUGAUUUUGGACUUCUGGCCUCAGAACUGUAAGAGAAUAAAUUUCUAUUGUUUUAAGCCUUCAGUUUGUGGUAGUUUGUUACAGAAACCCUGUAAAGUUAAUACACAGAGUUCAAAGAGAAUCCGGUAAUAUCUCUAAAAGACUCGUGUAUUAGUCAGGAUUCUCCAGAGAAGCAAAGCCAAUAGAAUGAUACAUGUUGUUAAAGCAAAUUAAAAUGGAGACCAUGCCUGAAGAAUCUCUGUGCAGAGAAACCCAGUUAGGCCUCAUAAGUUAACCUUACUUGAUUUGCAAACAUAAUCUAAAAGUUAACUGGAGCUAUUUCCGGUAAAUGAAUAUAACACAACUUAAGCUCAAUCAGUCAGAAGCAGCUUUAUAAUUAUGUAGCUAGGGACUUUCCAAGAGGAUGACCAAAG